rnacentral:rRNA from 1 species
GACGGCGGGUGCAAGCGUUGCUCGGACUCACUGGGCGUAAAGGGCACGUAGGCGGCUUGGUAAGUCUGAUGUGAAAGCCCACGACUCAAUCGUGGAAGUGCAUUGGAUACUGCUUAGCUAGAGUGCAGGAGGGGUAAGCGGAAUUCCAGGUGUAGAGGUGAAAUUCGUAGAGAUCUGGAGGAACAACGGUGGCGAAGGCGGCUUACUGGACUGUUACUGACGCUGAGGUGCGAAAGUGUGGGGAGCGAACAGG